GACGAACGCUGGCGGCACGCUUAAUACAUGCAAGUCGAACGCUCACGACCUUCGGGUCACAUGUGAGAGUGGCGAACGGGUGAGUAACACGUGAGAAACCUGCCUCAAAGAUCGGGACAACCACUGGAAACGGUGGCUAAUACCGAAUACCUUCCUUUGGUCGCAUGGCCAGUUGAAGAAAUGCUCCGGCGCUUUGAGAGGGUCUCGCGGCCUAUCAGCUUGUUGGUGAGGUAAUGGCUCACCAAGGCAUCGACGGGUAGCUGGUCUGAGAGGACGAUCAGCCACACUGGGACUGAGACACGGCCCAGACUCCUACGGGAGGCAGCAGUAGGGAAUCUUGCGCAAUGGGCGAAAGCCUGACGCAGCGAUGCCGCGUGGGGGAUGAAGGCCUUCGGGUCGUAAACCCCUUUCAGCAGGGACGAAAAUGACGGUACCUGCAGAAGAAGCCCCGGCCAACUACG
rnacentral:rRNA from 1 species